ACAGUCCAACUCUUCUCUGCAUCAUCCCUGUUUGGGGUUUUGUGCAUUUGUGGUGACCUUCUUGUCUUUUCUACAUCAGCAGGUCGAUCCAGGGUCCCUGUGGUCGUCAUUGUCGUCACCUUAUUAUUAGUUUUGACUCUCGCUGGUUUUGCUGCAUAUUUCUCUCGCAUUUUUCAGAAACUAAAACAGAAGCAUCAAAAGGACGAUGAGACACAAAAACAACCACUGCAAGUCUAGAAGUGUAGAUGUUCAGUCAGAUUGGGGAUUCAAACCAGCAUCCACAGGGAGACACUCGGGCCCAGCAGCACUGAGAUCAUCAUAAGGUCACACCUACAAAAGGAUGUGAGCCUGAUUUGAAUGGAUGUAAACAGGAAAUAUUUCUUACAGACGUCUUCAGUCAGAGUUGCUGCUGUCAGACUCUGGAGGAUCUGCUUGGAAACAUCAGUGAAACUGAUGGAUUUCCUCCUUCAGUACAAAACUGAAGUUCAGCCUGGAGAAGAAACACUCCUCUGCCUCACUGUCAGCAUGUUUAAUGAAUAUUUAUUUAGUCUUUACCUCACUGGUUAAGGUGCACUUAAAUCUUUUAGUGAGACCUCAAAGUGUCUCUGAUGGACAAAUUAAAGGGUUUAAAUCCUCCCUGAUCAUCACUGUGCUGGACUGACAUGAAUCAUUCUCAAACCUCAGCAGGGCUGGAAGGUUUUUCAUAGCAUUAAAGGAAAUUUCCAUGAAUAUGGACGUUUGUGACACAGAUAAUGUGGAAAGAUGAAAAUAAAACAUCACCUGAACGCUGUGAUGGAAACUGACGUCACUGUAUGAAUGCAAACUUUGUUAGUACAGUUUGAGUUCUGACUGUUUUUCUUACUUCACAUGUUUGUAGACUUUGUCUACCAUCUUUAAUGUCUCAGAAAAACUGAAGCUGAACACUUUAAGUAACUGCUGCACUUUAUAAACAGAAAAAAAAGCUGAUUUAUACUCUAGAUUUUUAAAGCUACAACUAAUUUAUUAAAUUUACUGUGAAACUUCCUGCUGGUUGGGACUCGAUGUUUAGACUAUAACCUUAUAGUCUGACUUCUGACUUUUUGCUUUCACUGCCUUUAAGUCAAAGUGAGUGUUUAGCUCACAGACAGAUGAGUGUGUGAUGAAACAAGCUUAAACUUCAUCACGAGAAUAAAAACAUUUAAAUACUGAA